rnacentral:rRNA from 1 species
GACGAACGCUGGCGGCGUGCCUAAUACAUGCAAGUAGAACGCUGAAGGAGGAGCUUGCUUCUCUGGAUGAGUUGCGAACGGGUGAGUAACGCGUAGGUAACCUGCCUGGUAGCGGGGGAUAACUAUUGGAAACGAUAGCUAAUACCGCAUAAGAGUAGAUGUUGCAUGACAUUUGCUUAAAAGGUGCAAUUGCAUCACUACCAGAUGGACCUGCGUUGUAUUAGCUAGUUGGUGGGGUAACGGCUCACCAAGGCGAGGAUACAUAGCCGACCUGAGAGGGUGGGCGGCCACACUGGGACGGAGACACGGCCCAGACUCCUACGGGAGGCAGCAGUAGGGAAUCUUCGGCAAGGGACGGAAGUCUGACCGAGCAACGCCGCGUGAGUGAAGAAGGGUGUCGGAUCGGAAAGCUCUGUUGUAAGAGAAGAACGAGUGUGAGAGUGGAAAGUUCACACUGUGACGGUAUCUUACCAGAAAGGGACGGCUAACUACGUG